GCCGCGCGUUGGGAGCCGUCGCCUGAGAGAGGGACGGCGGAGCCGCGGGCAUGGCGGUGGGGGUGUUUGCGUUGGCGGUGCUGCUGGCGGGGCUCGGCGCGGCACGGGCGCAGGGCUCCUGCACGCUUCCAGACAAGGUCCAGAAUGCAGAGCUCACGGAGGAUGCCAGCACAAUGAGCAGCUUUCCUGUUGGAACCACUGUGAGCUACACCUGUCGCCCUGGCUAUAUGAGGAUCCCUGGGAUGCCUGUUAGUCGAACGUGUGGCGAAAACUUAAUGUGGUCGCAAAUAGAGACGUUCUGUACAGCAAGAAGCUGUACUCAUCCGGGAGAACUACAAAACGGCGUUGUUCAUGUGACAGAUCUUACAUUUGGUUCAGCAGUUACUUUUUCUUGUGAAAAAGGGUACAGGUUACAUGGAAAUCGUCAGAUUUCCUGUGUAAUUAAAGGUAAACUUGUUGACUGGAAUGGACGUCUUCCUAUAUGUGAUAGAGUUCCUUGUAAGCCACCUCCAAGUAUAGCCAAUGGGCGCUACACUGAAGCAGCCAACUAUGUUUAUCAAACAACAGUAACCUAUAGUUGUGACGAUGUGCGCACAGGAGAAAAUCCCUUCUCGCUGGUUGGUUCACCUUCUAUUUUCUGCACAGUUGAUGAAAACUCAAAUGGUGUUUGGAGUGGACCGCCUCCACAGUGUAAAGUGGUCAUCUGUGACAACCCACAAGUAGAAAACGGAAGAAAGGCAUCUGGGUUUGCAUCUCAGUAUAUCUAUGGGAGCUCAGUUAGGUUUGAAUGUGAUCCAGACUAUGUCUUGCUUGGGAUGGAUGUAAUUAGUUGUACUGAAAAUGGCACCUGGUAUCCAUCAUUACCAACUUGUAAAAGAAUUAGUGAAGAUGCAUGUGGUGCCCCAAAGAUCUCCCAUGGAGAAGUCGUUCCACAGAAAUCUGUGUACUUAAGAGGAGAGUCUGUUCAGAUAAGGUGCAGUCCUCGCUGUGCUUUUCCUGAUGGUGGUACAGAGGUCACAGUAAUGUGCCAAGGACGAAAUACAUGGAGUUCUGAACCAAAUUGUGCAUGUGAUUCUGAACCUUCUGAUUUCUCUCCAGUCAUCAGCCAUGGUAGAAUAAUUGAAGGAAAAAAAUCUGUAUAUUCCGAAGGGGAUUCGAUUACAAUUGAAUGUUAUGCAGGCUACACAUUACAUGGUGCAGCUCAUAUUGAGUAUAUUGGAGGAGGCAGAUGGACUCCAGAAGUGCCAGUUUGCAAGUUAAGUGCUUAUAUUAUUGCCAUCAUCUGUAUGAUCGUGGCAGUUCUGGUGUUCCUGGCAGCCUUCUGGAUCUUUAAGAAAUUCAUUUCACAGGAAGGCUCAACCCCACCGAGCAGAGACAGCAACCAACAGCAAAAUCGGACUGCGUCACAGAUGUAACAUGACCAUCGGCAAAACAAGUGCAGGAAGAUAUCAUGGCUGUCUCAUCAUUCAGACAGCCUUCUUUCAGGAUCACAGAAGAAUGAGCUGGGACCACCGUUGCUGCUGCUAUUCCAGUUGCUCCCCUGCUCUGCGGAACUGGCGCUGCAGGAGGCAAGGAUGCUCCAGCCAGCGAGGGCACAGUGAGUCAGGAGGGGCUGCGAUGACUGCAGCGGGAGCUGAACCCCCCCCCGGAAUCCAGCAGGAAAGGAGACGAGGUGCCCCGAGCGGCUCGCGGCACCGCUCGCGCUUAACCACCGCCUAAGGAAGAGGAAAAGAAGGAAGGAAAAGGAAGAAAUAAAAACCCCGAAGCCAAGCGCUUUCCGUGGUGGAGCUUGGCAGCUCUGACACGUCAUCGUGACAACGGCACAGCAAAGCGAAACCUUCCCGGCGCCGGCGCGGGGCAGGCAGGAGGCGGGGACCGAAGCCGCGGACCGAAGCCGGGUCGGCAGGCGGUCCGCACCGCGGGUCCGGACCGGGCCGGGAGCCCCCGGCACUUUGAGACGAGCGCAGCCAACAUUCGGAUUUGACACCAGGCCCUCGGCCAAUCCGAGAGGGCUUUUCACCUGCCAUCGCUUCCUCCGCCAAUCAGACGGCGUGUUUGGGCCGAGAGCCCUCCCCGGCCAAUCGGGAGCCGGCUGAGCCACUUAGUUAAUGAUGCAGCAGUACAGGGAAGACUAUCACAUGUGAGCUGGAAGGCUGCCAACAUGGAGACACGGAGAGAGCAAGGUAAACAACUUUCCAACGCCAAAAUGAUGACAUUUAAUCCCUAAAUGCUAGCUUCCCGUCUCGACUCAUCCUUAACCCCUUUCAGCUGGUGUGGAAGCGUCUGGAAGGCACCGUGUACCUGUCCCCAGUGCUUUUAAAAACUGGCCGACGUGCCCUGCAAUGAUCACUGCGUCACCGUUUGCCACUUUCCGAACUACGCAGUGGCAAAGCCCCGAGCCCAGCUCACAGGGUGGCUGUUAACCCCUGCACCCAGCCCUGCCUCCACGCCAGCCCUCGGGGGGACGGCAGGGAAUAAAAAGCCCGAGCAAAACACGAAAACAGCAGUCUGCAAAGUUGUCAUCUCUCCCCCACGACUACUGCCCUCCUCUGCAUUACAGCAAUGCCGGCAAGAGUGGCAUUCGUACAACCUGUACCGAUGUUCCAUUGAGAAAACAGCUCUGACGCAGAGCAGAGCAAUCAUACCCAGCCGAAAUAAUAAUGAAGGCACUUGGGGAGCUGAACUUAGGGACGAUGGGGGAAGGGGACGCCCUGCAAAGCAUUACAAAACGUAGAUGCAGCUCCAGCCCCAUCCUGAUCAAAGGGUACGUACGUGGGAAAGACGAACCGGACCGAGGAGCUCUGCCCGUGCACCAGCUGCGCAGCGUUCAGCCCUCUGCUUGCUGUGUAGCGCCGCAGAAUAGAAGGUUCCAGAAUUUUCCUUUCCGUUAACCCUUUCGGUGUCUGCCCACUCUCCCUCCCCGCGGGAUUAAGCGCGCCGGGUCUCCAGCAUCGUCAACGGGCGAAGCCUCCUACGCCAACCGAGCCCAGAUAUGUUCUCUAAAUGACACUGUCUGGUGUCAGGAGCUCCGUCCCUGGUGUUGGUAUUACUUCUCUUUCUUGAGCCCUCUCUCCCUCUCCGGCUGCUUCUCUCCCCUCUUGCUGCAGCAGGGCUGUUGCUGGUAGACCUAUCGACGGAGCUUGCUCUCUCGCUGAGCUCUGUGACGCAGCUCUAAAUUCUCCAGCCUGCUCCUUGUGUUAUAACAGCGGAACUGCAGCCUUCCAGGGAGCCCGUGCCAGCAGUGCCAGGGCCAGGCACACCGAGGGAGCCUCACUCCUGGACGCUGCACCUUUUUUUGGUGAUUAUUAUGUUCCUCACCUGUGCUUCUCUGCUGCCUUCUGAGCCUCUCAGCCUCGCAUCUCCCUCUCUGCUUCUGAGUCAUGCUUGCUGGGUUAACUCUUUUAGAAUUGGUAGUCAGCAACACAAAUCUUGAACGAGCGCAGCUAAAACCACAGCCAACUUUGUGGUGAUUUCUGCUUAAAAAAAACCAAAGCAAAUCUUCUUGGCUCUAAGAAACAAAAACAUACACACACACACACGUUCCAGUAGAGAGUUGGUGCUUCUCAAUUAACUGUUUCAGUGUCAGGAACUACUGUCUGAUGUCCUGAAAUAAAGGGAUCUGGGCCUACAUCCUGCAAAUACUCAGCCAGCAUUCCCUUGUAGCACAAAGCAAGUUAAAAGGAAACACUUGCAGGGAUGGAUGCAGGACUUCUGGACAUAAAAGCACAAAAAUGCUGCUGGAUCCACGUGAUCCUGUUGUGCUGGUUGCAAGGCAUUGAUCUGACUGUGGUUCAGCCACUGAGCAGAUGCACUGUGUAGGAUAAGGUACUGAAAGUGCUAGAAAGCUAUAGGCUCUGCUUAAUCUGAACAGUAUUAAUAAGUGUUACCACAGACACAGAUUCAGAAUGCUCAGUGUAGGCAGGGGAACUAAUAGCUGCGUUCCGGGAGUCUCCAGAAUGCAAUCAUCUCUGUCAAAAAGGUUCACCAGCAGCUGCAUAUUGCAGCACAGCAGGCGCAGCCAGGCAAGCAAAGUGCUGCUGCUGAGCGGCUCUCCUCGCCCCUAGUCCUCUGCCUCGUGUUAGCUCCAGUGCAGUCAACUUCAGCACCAGGCAGAGGAAGCGCUGCUCCCAUCUCGGAGCCUCAAAACCGGAAAAUGUGGAGGAGGAUCAGUGGUAGAGAUGGAGCAUCUGGGAAUCAAAGCAGAGCUAAUGGAAAGCCAGCCCUGCAUGAGGGAGUUCAUGCGUCAGACUGCGUGUACAACGGAGCCAGCAGCCCAUUUGAAAACCUUGGAAUCAGGAGAGAUCACUCCGCAGAGGCAUCUGCCAUUUUAGUGCUGAACUCUGGAGCUGACUGUGAGCUUUGGGCUUUUCACUACAACCAGAGCUGAAGUAACCACUAUUUUUUUUCUCUUUGCAGCGUCUGAAGAGCCUGAGCUAUUUUGGGAUUUGUCUGUACUACACUGAAAAUGACACCUGUUACACACAGGCAUAAAUGAGAAGAAUUGCAAGCUCCUGGUUUCUCAGAUACAGUUCUGCCACGGAAAAAAGAUAGGAGCUGGGGGUGUGGGAGGGCAGCCCUGGCUCUCAGCGUGGGGUGAGGAACUGACCCUUGUGUAGUCAGACAGCAGUACAGGGAGUGCAUGAGGCUUGUUGCAUCUGAUGCAGACCUCCCUGUGACCAAGAGCAGUAGUGCUUGAUCAUCGAAACGCUGCAAGAUGGGGUUUCAUACAUGACCAAACCCAUGGGACUUCAAGCCUUACAGAUCUGCUUUGUGGCCAAAGCUGCAAGCGUUAACUGUUUCAGUUAAUUGUAAGAGUGCUUCAGCUACUUAAAUGAGUCACUCAGCAGUGAUGCUCUGAAGUAGGCCAGCGUUUUGUGCAAGGUUACGCAGUUGGUUUCCGUUACCCCUGAGUUAUCUCAGAAGCUCAACCACCACACAGAGGCAGAGCGGAUUUCCGUGUUCCCCAUUGCUGUGUCUGCCUGCAGCCGAUCUGCAGUGCCCCAGGGAGGUGUCAGCAGCGUGCAGACCACCCCGCAGCCCCCAGGCACUGAGCAUGGCAGUGGGAUGGACAGAGCCUGAGAAGUGGGAUGGCUGAUGGGCAUGCUUGGCUCCCAGCAACGCUGGUAUAUUAAGAAAGUAAAACAGAGGUUUGGCUUAGUUCAAAUGGUAUGCUUUUGGUUGCUUUCAAGGGAAGAGCAGUGUUUAUUUAAUGGGUUGCUUUUGUUUGAAAAUGACCAGCCGUGGGACAUUUCUGUCUUUACCUGAUCAUAAAGCAUUUACUCUGUGGAGGCACUUCAGCUCCCAAGGAGGAUCAAAGCCACUGUGCCCUGUGAAGCGCUCAGGUAUGCAACUGAAAACACGCUGAGCAAUGGAAAGGUUGGUUGGGAUAUGGCGUUGUCUGUGAGCUGAAGUAUGCAAAUAGCUGAAAUAAAAGCUAUGAUUCCAUGGUGGAAAUCAAGGCUCCUGUUUUAAGUGGAUCUUAUGGACAUACAUGGUACCACCUUAUUAUUUUUUUUUAAUCAUCUGAACUUUGGUUUUGUAAGGACUGUGAGGAAGCAAUGCCCGCUGCUAGAAGGCGAGCUUGGCAGCUGGAAAGAGCCCAUGGCAGUGGUGAGAGGCAGCCAGAGGGGUCUGUCUGUGUAUGAUGUAGUGGCUGUGUCCAUUCUAAAGCGGGACAGGUGUGUGGGAAAAGACUGGAAAGCAAUUCAUCAGUGAGCAGAAGUGCAGGCUGCUUGUUGCUUGUAUGCCAACAGAACGUAGAGCUGCAUCCUCAGUUCUCUGGCAUCUUCUGUGUUAUUUUCUGCUGUCAUGCUACAAUGGCCUUAAUAGCAAUAACAUAUGGAGAGUGAAGUUAUGAAAAUCUAACACUUGCAAAUGUCAUCCAAUGCCUUGUGGUGUUGUGGGUGAUAAAAUAACCUUGGCUGUCCCCGGAGAAAGGUCCUUGGUCUUUUUAAUGAUGAGCAGAGCCCCGGUGGUGCUGUGUAGUGCUUCAACUUCCCGCUGGUGAGGGCUUGGCUCGGGUUCCAAUUUAAAUGCCAUCAGCCACACCUUCCUCCCAACUGCAGGAAGCUGCGAUUGUUAAAAUCAGGGCAUGUUCCUGUUUAACUAAAAGGCUGAGAUCAAAUAAGCCAAAGGCCUCAGCAAUGCCAAACAAAUUCCUGCCCAAGACUCAGCAAGCCUGUGCAGCUGUAAAUGUGUGUAGUGCCCGACCUCAGCAUCCACGUGAGUGACGUCUCAAGGCGUCACCCUGGGAGCAGGCAGUCGGGACAAUGCGGGCAAGUUAAUGUCACACUUACUGAGUAAUAAUGCUUAGCACAAAGGUCGUCAGCUUGCCAACCAAAUGUCCUGGAAUCCAAGCGGUGGUGUUUCUCAGGUGCUGACGUGGGAUCCUGCAUUGUGUCUGAAAUUAACGCAGUUUUGUGUAUGGGAAGGCUGAAUCAAAUAAAGGUUCACUAAUUUGGCUCAGACUGCAUGUGGAUUCGGGGUCAAAGCUGAGAUGGAAAUUUGGAAGUUCCUAAACGCUAAAUUUUACUCCAGCUGCACCUCUUGCUUAAUUGUAGUCCUUAUUACACAGGAGUCAAUUAGAGAGACUUAACAGCCAUCUGAAACAGAAGCUGCCGGAACAGUGCGGCUUUUAGAGGAAAUUGAUAGGAAAUUAUAUAGAGGAGGUACUUUCUUUCAUUUUUCAAAGAAAAGCAGAAAUAAAACUUUAAGGUUUUGCUUCUGUUCUCGUGUGGAUGUGGGCAGUGACAGAUGGGUCGUGGUUCUGCAGUGCUGCCCUACCAGCGAGGCGGUCCGGAUUUCAGGAACCCAACUGGGUCCAUGGGGAAAUGUUCUGCACAGUGUGCUGAAUUUCCUUCUGCUGCGGCAGUAAUAGGAAACUUACCGAGUCAAACGUUUAGGUUUAGCAUGUUGUUGUGUUGUUUUGUUUUUUUUUCUUGAAAGGUUUAUUGCUAUCCGGAUGAUUUUCAUUAGUGCAUGUCAGAGGAAUGGCUUCUGGAGUGUUUGCAGUGAUUCCUGGCUGUGAUGAGCUCAACCACCAUCGCUGUGACACACGUCUUUGCCAGCCCAGCGUGUGCUCACUGCGGUCCCAUCCAACCACAGAGCAGGUUUCCUGUUUCACAUGGGGACACCAAGGCUGUGAAUGGACGGAGGGUCGCUGUGCUCAGCCCCCAGCCCUGGAAGGCAUCUGAGAGCCCAGCUGACCAGCAGACCUCACCGAGGUUUUUUCCCAGACUGGAAGGUUUCCACCAAGUCAUGAAGAUGGUUGUGUUUGGGAUGGUCCGGUGGAUCCUGUGCCUCGUGUCAGCUCUGUCGUUUGGGGAAGCCCCUACAGGUGAAUCUGUGGCAAGGUAGAAGGUCCAUGGUUCUCAUAAGGAAGUGAAGGAGUUGCAAAAUGGGAGCUUCUGCAGAAAAGUGUCUUCUGGCACUAGCUGUGCCCCAUUCCUACCAUCAAUAAGCCUUGGGUGAAAAGAGGGAGGUGCUCCAGGGGGACUUGGGAAAGCAGACUGGAUGUGACAGUGAAAAAUAAGGCUAUUGGAGGCACACAGCCAUGAGCCAGGAAUGGCUGAGCCCUGAGUCCCACAGGGACUCCCUCCAUAGGUCCGCCUAGAGGAGCACCAGGCUCCCACGGGUUCACUUUCAGCUGCUGAGAGCCAUUCUAUCCUUAGCACUGCCCUCCCCAGAGCUGCCACGAAUGUGUUCUGCACUGUGAGUCCAGAGAUCCACAGCUGCAGCUCUGGAGUGGGAGCUUUCCUUGGCAGCUCUGGGUGAGACGUGGGCGAGGGCACCAGCGGAAGGAGCCCCGUUACGCCCUGACCCGUGUGAGCACACGUCUGUUUCUGCGCAGCCUCCCUCGCAGACCAGCCGAAAUCUGGGUUAUAUAAUGCCACUGCUGCCUCGAAACAGGGAGGUUAAAAUGAGGUCGUCCAAGAUGGGAGCUGCCUGCAGCCUGCAGCCGCCUCGGGAGGACGAUCCGCUGCCUGCGCCGAGCCCUGCACGCAGGGGAGCACUGCAACAUAAACAUACAGAACCAUAGGUCAGGAUGCUGGAAGUCUCCAGAGCGCUCACGGUGUGGAAUCAGGCCCAUUUCUUUAUUUGCAUCUCCCUGUUUACGUGACGAACUGUGCUGAGCAGGCAGCGUGACGGGCUGCGGUCACAGGGCACUGCAGAGCUGCGGGGUGCCAGAUCCACACAGCACAGAGCUCUGUGCCACAGUCAACCCCAGGUUUUACCCUUUUUAAGCAUGUUUUAAGGGUGCAAGGUCUACAUUAUUCCUUCCAUCAUUGCUUUAUUUGCAGUAUGCUGUGGAAAGGCCAUCGCUCCAAGGGGAUCCACGUAAGAAAGUAUACAACUGUAAUAGAAAAAGCAAGAAUUCUGUUGCAUUAAAGCAGAUAUUCUUUUUCCAGAAUACUAAUGCAAUUCCUCCAGAACAAAGAGUGGAAGCUUCCUCCUGUAAGUGCAUUUCACAGAGACCACAAGGUGGGAAACAUGGGGCUGUUUGAGGGGAGCUGCUUGGGAUGAGCACAUCAAUGAGUUCAGCACUGGGCAUUGGGUGAUUCCAUGACUGGAGGGCCACUAAAACCAACAUGCUGCUGCAAACAAAGAGACAAAAGUCACAUUACCAGGAGCACAUGAGUUUGAGGAAGACCUACUCCCUCCUAACAGCAUGUGAAAACACCUGAUUUCCCAUUGUCAUGGUAAGCCUUUCCUUCAAAGCACUCCUAAUUUGUUUCCUGAUCCUCCAGCUUCUUGGCUGGUGCCAGAACAGAGCAGUGAGUGCUGGAGAGUUGUUGGCAGGACAGCAGCUGGGGAACAGUCUUUGUCUUUGACAGCAAGCGAUGGACAGUGCUUCUGUCCCACUGGGGGGAAUUUCUGCAUCACCAUCACUAAACUGGAUACAUGUGGGAUGAUUGCUGACCACAGAAAGAAGCCGAAGACGAACCACCUACCUGCUGAAGGCAGAGGAUCAGCGCUGUACCAACAAGGAGCAAGGCUGGAGCACAAGUUAUGCAAGUUACUUUGAGUAGAGAUCCCAGUGGGGGAUGGAGCCCUGUGUUAUCCUCCAAAGGGUCCCAGUUUGUGCAGGCAAUAUAACUGCACAUCAGCCUUUGCUGCUCCACAGCAGCACUCCCUUUGGGUUACUUCUCUGCUGAUUUUCAGAGGGAGCAGUUGGGCUGAGAACCCAGAGGGGCAGCCUGGCCAAUGCAGUGUUGCAAACCCUGCCCCAUCCUGGCAGAGCAAUGCUAAGGCAGGGAGUUACCCCGAGUAAAACCCUUGCUCAGAUGGACCAUGAACGCAGCCACAGGAUAAGGUAGCAAGCCAUAACGUAGGUAAGAAGCAUUUUGCAAAGGGGCAGUGCGUAAAAACAAGCCUGAGCAAAAGGAAAGUUAAGCCUCUUAAAUAUUAAAGUUCCAAAAUUAAACCCUUGUUUAUAUAACAGUUGGGUCACUGCUGCAGAACACGGGAGUUCACAGCAUUGCACCAAAAAAGGCUCUCGUGGAGCCAACAGCUGCUCCCCAGGGGGCUCAGAGCAGGUGGGGAGCAGAGCUGCAGCCAGGAGGAUGCUCGUAGGGUUCGGCUGCCCUGACACGAAGUCUGCAGUCACCCCAUAAAGCAGUGCAACCCUUCGGGAUGUGCCUUGGAAGUUGGUGUAGGGGGAUGUCCGGCCCAUUCCUGCCUGCUCCCCUGCUUCGGUUUGGCUCAUCGCAGGUGAUAGCACAGCAACACAAGGCAAACGCAUGCACAAAACAUAGAGAAUAACUUCAUGAAGUUUCUCUGCUGCUCAGUUAUCUUGAAAAAGCCAUCUAGAAAGGCCCGCAGAUACACCCCUACUUAUUAUUUUGUAAGAAAAGAGCACAAAAGAACUUAAUCCAAAGUAAAUAUUUAACCAAACAGCAAUUAACUAACAAUGAUGGAUUGUAAACAGCGCUGCUCCGAGGCUGAGCUGCAGCUCUCCUCUGUUUCUCUGGGCUACGGCUGCCCUAAGGGGGAAGGCAAGUUUACCGAGUCAGAUUUGUCUCCGCCACCUCGCUAUUAAAAGGCUCUACAAACAGAAACGGCAUCAGAUGAUCUGAGAGCGAGGAAAACAAUAAAGAACACAGCAAUGCAGGGCACGGGAGUUGUAAGGCUUUAUGGAGCAACUGUCCUUGGGAAGGAGGGCUGAGCAAACACGAAGCUGUAAAGGAACUGCUUCCCAUCUGGGCAGCUUGUGUGAUACAUUCCAUGGGGCAGCAGUCCCACUUACCCACGAGGAAGUAGUGAUAAUAACAAUAAUAAUAAUAAUGCAUUUUAAUAAUAUUUUAAUACUUAUUAAAUUAUUAUUAUGUCCCAUUUGUUAUUGUUAUGCUCCAUUAUCAUUAUGUUCCCUUCGGGAAGAUGUCCCCCCACAGAUCACUACUUCCAUAAUAAUAAUAAUAAUAAUAAUACCACCACCACGAAUACUAGUAAGUAUUAUCUCUUAUUUCCCACCCCCAGGUGCCUCCGGCAGCUGCAGCAGCCCGGCCAGGCUCUGUCCGUGCCCCCACCUGCACCAUGGCCCAGGGAAAGGGGUGGUUAUGGGGCGGGGUGGUGCACGGGGGACGCUCCCAUCCCGGCCCCUCUCCGCUCUGUCCCCGCGGCUCCCGGCGCGUCCCCCCCCCGGACGCUCCCGAGCGGAGGAAGAGGCGGCCGCUGCCCCCCCCCGCCGCGCCACAAGGUCACCCCGCUCUGCCUACACGUCCCGGGAGGCCGUGCCCCCCCCACAGCCCACGGGGGGGUCCGGGAGGGGGCGGCGGACGGGCGAAGGAAGAGCUCCGGAUCCAUCGGUGCGUCCCGCGCUGCCUUUUCCUCUCCUUCCUCGCAGGACGUGCGGCGUCCGGACCCGGGAGAUCGUUUUAAAUCCCGAACGGAAGAGAUGAACCUAUCUGAGGAUCUUCUGCAAUGAUAAAAACAAACCAAAACCGAAGAAAAGCAUCGGGAGAUGAGGAGGAGGGCUCCGGUUCCGAAGGUCGGUGCUCUUUGCAGCUCUGCAGCUCUUCGUGUCGCCGUAGCACCGUCCUGUGCCCGGAGCCAUCGGUGCUGCUGCUCCCGCUCCCCCUAAGGAAGCAGAGGGGUAAUCAUUCCCCAUUUAAUGGAUGGGAAACUUGGCACAGCACAGAUUAAGUGAUUUGCUGACAGCGCAUAAGAAAAUUGCGCCAGCAAAGCAUUCUCUCAAUUAUGCCAUCCUCGUAACUGCAUAAUUUCCCUCCCUGAUUCCAGACACGGAACGUUCUCCCUGUGCAGGGCUGCAUUGCUGAAUGCAAAGAGUGCAGACGGCGUUAGCAGCACCCAUGCAUUGUGCUGGGAUGGUUUAAUCCAUUCUGCAUCCCCUGCAGCCUCAGCGUGGUGGGCUACGCACAGAGCAGCGCCACGGACUGCAGCCGAGGUGGGCAGAGGUGCAGUGCUGCCACGUGCAGCUGAGACACGGGGGGGAGGAGGGGGGGACGGAGCGAAGCUUGGCUGCUUGGGAUACAACACACUCCCAUGCAGCACACCCAGCUGCAGCCUGCUUUGCGCUGCAAUCCACGCAGGAGGAGCAGCAUGCAGAAAAUUCCCUGUGGGAUGGAGGCAGCCAGGAGUGGAGAGCUGAGCCCCCGGGUGCAGCCACAGCGCGGGUGUGCAGCGCUGAGCCCAGCCCUGCCCGCUGCCAUCCUGCCCUGUGUCAGGGCCACGCCACGUUCCAGGCUCCCCUGCCCUCAUUUGAAUUGGCCCGGCCUCGUAAUCUGCUGCUAAGUGGGACUGCCGAUGAGCGCCGAGAUAAAUUUAGAAAGAAAUCUUUGUAUGGGUCAGAGGAAAAACACCGCAGCCUCCGGAAUCCCAGCGGAGCGACUGCGCAGCUCCUGCGGGCUGGGAGGGACAGGGAGAGGGGCUGGGGGGGCUCCGAGUGCUGCAUGGACGGGGUCAGCCAAAGCUCCCACCCAACAAACCCAUGCUGAUAAAGCCACGACGUGUUUAUGUGCAGCGAGGAGGGCAGUGGUGCAUCACUCCCCCUCCAGGACCACCGGCCACGCCACAGCACUGCUGUUCCCUUACAGUUCUGCUAAGCUGUUAAAUUGUUUUUAAACAAGAAAGAAAAUAAUGGUAUUAGUGGUGUAAAAUCCCCCAUGAAAUCACGCAUCCACUUCCCCUGCUGCAUUCCAAGCACCAUUCAAAGCCAUUUUAUCCGUGUGCUCAUAAAUGGUACGGAACCAACGUGAGAAAAGGAAAAGAAUUUUCUGAAUGAUUUUCCUUUAAUAAGCUAUUAGGACCUUGUACUGCUAAUUAAACUAUUAAUUAGAUGUCUUAUCGUUCCCAAACACGUUAGCACGUUGCCAAAGCAGCAGAGAGCCUCUGGGGCAGGCAGUAGAUAAGGAGAGGAAGAUGCAAACAUGAAGAUUAA